rnacentral:rRNA from 1 species
AUUGAACGCUGGCGGCAGGCCUAACACAUGCAAGUCGAGCGAGUGGCGGACGGGUGAGUAAUGUAUGGGGAACUGCCCGAUGGAGGGGGAUAACUACUGGAAACGGUAGCUAAUAUCGCAUACCAUCGGAUGUGCCCAUAUGGGAUUAGCUGGUAGGUGAGGUAACGGCUCACCUAGGCGACGAUCCCUAGCUCGUCUGAGAGGAUGAUCAGCCACACUGGAACUGAGACACGGUCCAGACUCCUACGGGAGGCAGCAGUGGGGAAUAUUGCACAAUGGGCGCAAGCCUGAUGCAGCCAUGCCGCGUGUAUGAAGAAGGCCUUCGGGUUGUAAAGUACUUUCAGCGGGGAGGCGUUACCCACAGAAGAAGCACCGGCGAACUCCGUGCCAGCAGCCGCGGUAAUAC